GGAAAGAAGAAGACAGAGAGAGAAGACAGAGAGAGAAUGUGUAUUACAUCUUUCCAAACUUUCUUUUGUGGUGUUUUUCAAUAAGUAUUAACUUAUUUCUUUCUUCUUCUUCUU
rnacentral:ribozyme from 1 species